rnacentral:rRNA from 1 species
GACGAACGCUGGCGGCGUGCCUAAUACAUGCAAGUCGAACGAAGUGGGGACGGGUGAGUAACACGUGGGUAACCUCCCAUCAGAGGGGAUAACACUUUGAAACAGGUGCUAAACCGAUACUGAUGGAUGGACGCGCGGUGCAUUAGCUAGUUGGUGAGGUAACGGCUCACCAAGGCCACGAUGCAGAGCCGACCUGAGAGGGUGAUCAGCCACACUGGGACUGAGACACGGCCCAGACUCCUACGGGAGGCAGCAGUAGGGAAUCUUCGGCAAUGGACGAAAGUCUUACCGAGCCACGCCGCGUGAGUGAAGAAGGUUUUCGGAUCGUAAAACUCUGUUGUUAGGGAAGCGGUAUCAAACCAGAAAGCCACGGCUAACUACGUGCCAGCAGCCGCGGUAAUUC